GUAGGUGGCAAGCGUUGUCCGGAAUUAUUGGGCGUAAAGCGCGCGCAGGCGGUCCUUUAAGUCUGAUGUGAAAGCCCACGGCUCAACCGUGGAGGGUCAUUGGAAACUGAGGGACUUGAGUACAGAAGAGGAAAGCGGAAUUCCACGUGUAGCGGUGAAAUGCGUAGAGAUGUGGAGGAACACCAGUGGCGAAGGCGGCUUUCUGGUCUGUAACUGACGCUGAGGCGCGAAAGCGUGGGGAGCAAACAGGAUUAGAUACCCUGGUAGUCCACGCCGUAAACGAUGAGUGCUAAGUGUUAGGGGGUUUCCGCCCCCUUAGUGCUGCAGCUAACGCAUUAAGCACUCCGCCUGGGAUACGACGCAAGGUUG
rnacentral:rRNA from 1 species